AUUAGUAAAUGCAGCUACCAAAUCUUUAGUAGUUGAAACAUUGGUAAAAUGAACUGUAAUGUGCGUACUUCGCAGUCGUCAUUCUUCUUGAGGAAACAAAGCCAUUCGGAGUUUCUAACCUUGGAUUAAAAUUGCACAGUUGACUGGUGGAAUAUUCAAUGUAUACUAGACUAAGCAUUUGCAACACAAAUAAAUGUCAGGAAACGAGAGAGCAAAUAAUGCGGAUAAAAUUUACUGCGAUCUGGUCCCAUCAACUGCCAACUAAUCAGUUGUUCCUGUCCUAAAGGAUGAAAAUGUGCAACAGGAAAAGGAGCAAAACCUUGAUGAGCGAGGAUUUGAAAAAACAUAUGAGACUGA